rnacentral:tRNA from 3 species
GUCGGAGUGGCGGAAUCGGUAGACGCGCACGCUUGAGGGGCGUGUACCGCAAGGUGUAGGGGUUCAAGUCCCCUCUCCGACACCA